ACAUGUUCUCGGGGUGGGGUGCAAUUCCCCACCAGCGGUAAUCAUCUUCCGUUUGUGCGCAGAUGUAGCCCGCGAGCGCUCGAUUGCUGGCUCAUGCAACCCAUGCAAAGAGACGGCGAACGAGGUGAGGUCAGCAGACUCGGUUGGAUUCCGGGGCCGACGGUACAGUCCGGAUGAAAAAGAACGGGA
rnacentral:ncRNA from 2 species